rnacentral:lncRNA from 1 species
CUUCCACACAUCCUUUGCUUGAGUGGGUCCCCGUCUCGUCCUCACUGUCCCUUGUCCAUCUAUUCAAAUUAAAAAGUCUUAAAAAGUUGAAGACAAAUAUGAACAUAAAAUAUGAACUUUAAAUCGAAUUACCCUGGAUCCGGAGCUCAUCCUCCGGACAAUCAGCAGGAGGCUCGUGCUGAGAUCCUGACUCGUGUUGCUGGUGCUCACAUGGCUGCUGGGACUGC